GCUAGCUCAGUCAGUAGAGCAUGAGAACCUUAAUCUCGGGGUUGUGAGUUCGAGCCUCACAUUGGGCA
rnacentral:tRNA from 1 species